AUUGAACGCUGGCGGCAUGCCUUACACAUGCAAGUCGAACGGUAACAGGUCUUCGGAUGCUGACGAGUGGCGAACGGGUGAGUAAUACAUCAGAACGUGCCUAGUAGUGGGGGAUAACUACUCGAAAGAGUGGCUAAUACCGCAUGAGAUCUACGGAUGAAAGCAGGGGAUCGCAAGACCUUGUGCUACUAGAGCGGCCGAUGGCAGAUUAGGUAGUUGGUGGUAUAAAACAUUACCAAGCCGACGAUCUGUAGAUGGUCUGUGAGGACGAUCAGCCACACUGGGACUGAGACACGGCCCAGACUCCUACGGGAGGCAGCAGUGGGGAAUUUUGGACAAUGGGCGCAAGCCUGAUCUAGCAAUGCCGCGUGCAGGAUGAAGGCCUUCGGGUUGUAAACUGCUUUUGUACGGAACGAAAAGCCCUGGGUUAAUACCCUGGGGUCAUGACGGUACCGUAAGAAUAAGCACCGGCUAACUACGUGCCAGCAGCCGCAGUAAAAC
rnacentral:rRNA from 1 species